rnacentral:rRNA from 1 species
UACGUAGGGUGCGAGCGUUGUCCGGAAUUAUUGGGCGUAAAGAGCUCGUAGGCGGUGUGUCGCGUCGGCCGUGAAAACCUGGGGCUUAACUCUGGGCGUGCGGUCGAUACGGGCAUCACUAGAGUUCGGCAGGGGAGACUGGAAUUCCUGGUGUAGCGGUGAAAUGCGCAGAUAUCAGGAGGAACACCGGUGGCGAAGGCGGGGUCUCUGGGCCGGAACUGACGCUGAGGAGCGAAAGCGUGGGGAGCGAACAGG